GACGAACGCUGGCGGCGUGCUUAACACAUGCAAGUCGAACGGAAAGGCCUGCUUUCCCUUGUGGAUUGCGGGUACUCGAGUGGCGAACGGGUGAGUAACACGUGAGUGAUCUGCCCCCAACUUGGGUAUAAGCCUGGGAAACUGGGUCUAAUUCCCGAUAGGACUGCAGGGUGGUGCCUGUGGUGGAAAACGAUUUUCUAGUGGUUGGGGAUGAGCUUGCGGCCUAUCAGCUUGGUGGCGGGGUAAUGGCCUACCAAGGCGACGACGGGUAGCCGGUCUGAGAGGAUGAGCAGUCACACGGGAACUGAGACACGGUACAGACUCCGACGGGAGGCAGCAGUGGGGAAGAUUGGACAAUGGGCGAAAGCGUGAUCCAGCCAUGCCGCGUGUGUGAAGAAGGUCUUUGGAUUGUAAAGGACUUUAAGUGGGGAGGAAGGGAAGUAAGUUAAUACCUUGCUGUUUUGACGUUACCAACAGAAGAAGCACCGGCUAACUUCGUG
rnacentral:rRNA from 1 species